CUUUCUUUUUUUUUCCCUUGAUCUAGCCCCUUCUCUCUCUGGGUGCAAAGAGAGACAGGAUCAAUGACAGUAGGGUUGGAAGUAUGCAGCAAAGAAUCUUCUUCUCAUGUACCAUCCAGCUGAUAGGGUUGAGUCGCCGUGAACAGAGGAGGAAGUGCGAUUGCAGUUUUAUCAUGUUGAUGUCAACGGUGCGCCAUUCAGACUUGUUUUUUUGAGAAAAAAUCAGUUUCCCGUGCAGAAGUGACGCUAUGGUUAUUAUUCCCUUGGCAGCUGUGGAUAGAUAACCAGAAACAAGCUGAAGUUAUCGGUGGUCACAAAGCACAUUUUGCGGUUAACGAAGUCAGGGAGAUGAUAGAAAACGAUUCUAUCAGUUGAAACUUGAAAUUAACAGUCUCAACUCAAGGCUGCUUUUUUGUUUUAGGAAUCCCUCCUGGUUUGUAAAGUGUUAUAUUUUCUACUUUUCUCCAUAUCUUGUGGCCAGAUACUGAAGUAUAUUGCAUUGUCAAACGCUUUUGGAACUGCUGUAAUUACAC